GUCCGUUGACGCAUUCGCAUUGUGUUAAAUCGCUGGCGAAAGUCGCAGUUAGUGGUGAGUGCCGCAACGGUUUUGCGUGUGUUUGUUGAUUUGAACAAAUGGUUUUUUGUGGUGGCAGCCAUGUAGAAAUGAAGAAAAGCUGUUGCAGGCUACUGUUACAGUCCGCAGUGAGUGUAGUAGUCUCCUGUGGAAGUACCAGACCUUAAUUCUUCGAAAACUGAGGUUACAAUGAGAGUAUUAUCGGAUUAGUUGGAAGAUGCAAUGCACUCAUUGCAGGUUUUCGUAUUUUCAAGGCAAUUGUGGCGGCUGUGUAUCAAUAGAACUAUAUUAUGUGAUGAGGAAGAGAAAUCUUGUGACAUGGAUCACCUCAUUCUCCCACUUGGGAUUACUUUAGAUACAUUGAGAGUUGGCAUUACAUGAUUUACCCGAGGAUAAUUGGUGGAGUAUAACAAUAAGUUUAAGGUAUUUGUGGUAUCGCAACUGAGUUGUUGAAAUAAGCAAUUGGGGCUCGACAGCAAACAGGACAAAUCCCCAGCAGAAAAUGAUUGCAGACAUGUAGUUUUUGUACGUUAAGUACUGAGAUUGGAAUGUGUACAGAACAAAUGUGUUAUGUAAGUACUACUCAAAGAUGAAGAGGAAAUCGUGGUUGUUCCAUCGAGCCAAUUGGAAGACUGCUCACCAAAUUUGGAUUAUGUUUUCUUACAUGCUGGUGUGUAACGUAAGAAGUGACAGAAAAUUGCACUGGAUGCAGAGUCUGUGCUCCUCUACACCCUUCUGUCACGUCAACAGACUGAUUGCUACCUGAAGUGCUGGACCUGUAUCAUGCAUUAAUGUAGACAAGUAACAGCGGUGUUUGCCGAGUCUCACAGUGCCGUGAGAGAGGUGUGUCCUUUUGCAGAGCUGGCGUAGCUUGCAGGUGUCUGGAGGUGCGGACCUCAACAUUACCAGGAGGAAGAUACAGCAUCUGGGUUGCAGGAAGCUUUUUGCUGCAAUAUUAGUGAAAAAAUUCACACUCUUUGGCUGGUAACUGUUGGCUGUAAUUCUUGUUGUGGCCAUUCACACCUUUAGUUACAAGAAUCAGGGAUGGUUCUUAAGCUGGUAAAAUAAUUAAUUGUUGUAGAGUUUGCAGACUAUUUAAAAUAUGAAAGUGACCUCUUUGUUUGAGGAAACGCCGCUAUUGAUUCGGAUGUGACGGUAAAUGAAAGGAAAAUUGCUGUAGGUAUAUUCUUACUCCAUGUCGUGGCAUAUUAGAGAACAGGUCUAUCAAUGUUUUUAGAAGAUGCAGAAAAAAAACAGAGGUUUGUAAUGUAAAUUAGUUUUUCUUCGACUGACAGAAAAUAUUUGUGUCAAAUGCGUUUGGAUGCUGGAAAUGAAUAUACUUAAUCAUCCAGAUGUGUUUCGCCUUUGUUGUUGAGACAUCAUUAGCAAAUGACUGGUAUGUUACAUUAUGUUCGUUUGCAGAUGUCAAUUUUUGGUUC